CACGUUUUGAUCCAAACUGAUAAAGUGAUAUACAAAAAUGAAAUCUGUAUUACGAAAUAACCAGUUCAUGUUGAGACCGUCAUUGAUUUACCAAAACUCUCUACGCGAUAGUCACAGAGUGACAGUUUCGGGCAGAACUUUGCUUCAAUUUCUAUUCAGAACCCACUAUAAAUGCUGCACCCUUGGGAACGCAGCGCAUUUGAGAAACUGUCACUCACGACUUUACAUUGGUUCUAGUGUUAUACGGUGCUCAGGAAGCAUAAACGAAACUCGAUGUCAAACAAGGGGACAUUUGAAGGUACCUGCGUCACCAGCAUUCUCACACAGAAUACUAAUCUCAUCAUUUUCAACGCACGCUACUACCAACAUAUCUGGUACCAAAAGCGAUUGGGAUCAGCCACCUGGUUUUGAUACAGGCAUCGUCAUUUGGCACCCAAUUGUGAAAAUGAAAGUGCCAUUCAUUUUGACUGAAAAUAGACUUGCUAGAUGGUAUAUGUGUGGCCCAACAGUUUAUGAUAGUGCACAUAUUGGCCAUGCAAGCUCUUACACAAGAUUCGAUAUCAUUCGACGUAUCAUGGAAAAUGUGUUUGGCAUUGAUACCAUGUUGGUCAUGGGAAUCACUGAUGUUGAUGACAAGAUCAUAAAGCGUGCAAAAGAAGAUGGAAUUACCAUCACAGAGCUGACAAGAGCAUAUGAGAUGGAGUUCUUCCAGGAUAUGAUGGCCUUAAAUGUGUCACUACCAACCACAUUCACUCGAGUAACAGAUCAUAUGGAGCACAUUAUAUUGUUCAUCCAAGGCAUCAUCAAUAAUGGUCUUGCAUAUGUUACAGAAGAUGGAAGUGUUUAUUUUGAUGUGCUGAAGUAUGGACAUAAAGGUCAGAUGAGACAGGUUGUCUGUGAUUCUACUGAGGCAAGUGACCAAUAUAAAAGAAACCCCCCAGACUUUGCUUUGUGGAAAGGUGCUAAAGAAGGGGAAAUAUUUUGGCCGUCACCGUGGGGUAAUGGCCGCCCAGGCUGGCACAUUGAGUGCUCAGCUAUGGCAAGUUCUAUCUUUGGAGCAAACUUUGACCUUCAUACUGGUGGUGUGGAUUUGAUGUUUCCUCACCAUGAAAAUGAAAUAGCCCAGUCUAGGGCGUACUUUGGCUGUCAGCAAUGGGCAAAUUACUGGAUGCAUACAGGACAUCUGCAUCUGAAAAAAGAUACACAAAAGAUGUCUAAGUCGCUCAAAAACACUAUCAGCGUCUCUCAGCUUCUAGAGGACUACACACCUAAUCAAUUCCGCAUGCUUUGUCUUCUAACUCACUACAGAAACUCCAUUGCAUUCAGCAGCGAAUCAAUGGAAAAGGCUGUUGUCAUUAUGAAUCAGCUGAACAGCUUAGUGGGUCAGUGUGAAGCUUACAUGCAGGGAUGCUUUGACUGUCCAAACAUUUCACAGCCAGAACUCUAUCAAAGAAUUCAUGUAACCAGAGAAGCAGUGGAGAAGGCACUUGCAGAUGACUUUGACACCCCCUGUGCUUUGGAUGCUGUCCUCAGUUUGAUGGGAUACUUGAACCAGGUCAUGCAAUACAAAACUGAGCCGAGAAUCCUGAGAGUAGGCAAGCAAACAGAACGUGGUGCAUGUUGGCAGCCAGUUGGUGGACAAAGCCUUGUCCUUGGCAGCUCUGCUGCUGUUGCUUCUGCCAGUAUUUACAUCCAACGCAUCCUCACACAGCUUGGACUAGACAUGGGGUGCAACAAGAAAAACAUGGUUAUCAACCACAGGAUAAUUUGAAAAAAAUUCAUAGAGAGCUGUUUUCUCCCAUACUGGAUGCAUGUGAUAAUGUCAGACAAAAACUGUGUUCUGCAAACAUCCACAUAAAAGAUCUGAAGAAAGGGUCGAUUUGGAAUGUUGAGGAUCACACAGUUAAAACAACUCAAAGAUUUUCAGGUUAAGCAUGGUUGUCUUCCAGUGCUUAAUAAUAAUAAUGGAAACUUAUAAUGCACAGCAUCAUGACCAAGAUAGAUCGCACCCUUAAUCAAGUGUCAUAAUUUUGCAUGGUUAUAAUUGUGUCAAACCUUAGUAUGAAGGUCACAACAUUUGUAGACAAUGAUCAAAACACAAGAUGUAUACUACUGUGGUAAGACUGCUAAUGAUCAUAUCUGUUGCAUUCAUUGUAUCCUUUCCAACCCCAAAGAAAAGGAAACAGCAUAGCAUCUUAGAUAAGGUACUAUAAAACCUCUGCACUACGACCCAAAAAUACAAUUUUGUUAAAUAAACAUUUCUAUUAGAGACCUCCCCAAUACAACUUACAAUUCCUGGCUAUUGCCUUUUUUUAAUAGCAGAAAUCAUGUGUUGAAAAAAAUGUCUCCAGGCAUGCAUCACUUGAUCAUGCUUUUUGCAGAAAUCACACACUUAUAAUAAUAAGAUUGUGGUGUACUGUUUGUGCUCUACGGCGAUAUUUUUACAGAACUCGUGUUUCAAAAAUACAUUUAGUGCACUUUUCAGCAUAAAUGAAUAUAAAUUUAUAGUAUAUGAAGUCAUGGUUGUGGAAUGAAAGCAGAUUGAUCAAUUUCCCUAUUAGGACCAUUCUCUGUUAUGACCUGAUCUUUAUGGAUUGUAACUAGUCUUAAUAGGGAGAUUUUACUGGAAGUUGUAUAAAAUUGUGUGCAAUGAAUGCUUAUUUUGUGCAGUGAAUGCACUUAUACAUAUAUAUUCAUCUGUUAUGAACAGUACUUGCCUGAUGUAUAUGUACAGGGAUUUGUGAAAUCUUGUUUUAAAAAUGCAUUGCACCUAUUUUCAUGUU
rnacentral:misc_RNA from 1 species